rnacentral:misc_RNA from 1 species
AAAGGGCGAAACGUAAUGUGAAUCGCAGACUGUGAAUCAUUGAGUAUUUGAACGCAUCUUGCGUCCCGGUUUUUAAUUGGGACAUGGUGAGGCGAGAUGGGAAAGAAAAAGUGGAGAAGGAUAAGAGGGGAGGAGGGGGGGAGGUCUCUCUCUCUUUCACUUUUUUCUCUGAAACGGCCAUGAUUUGAUGGCUGAGAAAAAGAUAUUAGUGGUUAGGUCGUUCUCCCCUUGUCUCUGGAUCGAAAGGGAAAGGGAUGGGGAGAGAAUGCUAUAAUUUUGACAGUACCUACCACUCGCCUCACCAAGAUUACCCGCCGAAUUUAA